AACGAACGCUGGCGGCAUGCCUAAUACAUGCAAGUCGAACGAUCUCUUCGGAGAUAGUGGCGCACGGGUGCGUAACGCGUGGGAAUCUGCCCUUGGGUUCGGAAUAACUUCGGGAAACUGAAGCUAAUACCGGAUGAUGACGUAAGUCCAAAGAUUUAUCGCCCAGGGAUGAGCCCGCGUAGGAUUAGCUAGUUGGUGAGGUAAAGGCUCACCAAGGCGACGAUCCUUAGCUGGUCUGAGAGGAUGAUCAGCCACACUGGGACUGAGACACGGCCCAGACUCCUACGGGAGGCAGCAGUAGGGAAUAUUGGACAAUGGGGGCAACCCUGAUCCAGCAAUGCCGCGUGAGUGAUGAAGGCCUUAGGGUUGUAAAGCUCUUUUACCCGGGAUGAUAAUGACAGUACCGGGAGAAUAAGCCCCGGCUAACUCCGUGCCAGCCGCCGCAGUAAAAC
rnacentral:rRNA from 1 species